UACGGAGGGUGCAAGCGUUAUCCGGAUUCACUGGGUUUAAAGGGUGUGUAGGCGGGCAGAUAAGUCAGUGGUGAAAUCCCCGAGCUUAACUCGGGAACUGCCAUUGAUACUAUUUGUCUUGAAUGUCGUGGAGGUUAGCGGAAUAUGUCAUGUAGCGGUGAAAUGCUUAGAUAUGACAUAGAACACCCAUUGCGAAGGCAGCUAACUACGCGAAUAUUGACGCUGAGGCACGAAAGCGUGGGGAUCAAACAGG
rnacentral:rRNA from 1 species